CCUCACAAGGGGUGUGAAGAAAUGCCCUUUAACUCUUGAGAUAAUUGAUGUCAUCUGGGUAAAUGUAAUUGUAAUAGAAAUACAUGUGCAUAUAUUUAGAUAGAACUUGACUUACUGGCAACUUUAUUAUCAUGGCAGCUGCAGGCUGGAAUUUAUCACUUUCAUAUGACCAUGCUUAGUACCAAAAAC
rnacentral:lncRNA from 1 species